UCUAAAGGAAACAGAGGUGACGUUAUGAUG
rnacentral:piRNA from 1 species